CAGUAGCCGCGGGAAUACAGAGGGUGCGAGCGUUAAUCGGAUUUACUGGGCGUAAAGCGUGCGUAGGCGGCUUUUUAAGUCGGAUGUGAAAUCCCUGAGCUUAACUUAGGAAUUGCAUUCGAUACUGGGAAGCUAGAGUAUGGGAGAGGAUGGUAGAAUUCCAGGUGUAGCGGUGAAAUGCGUAGAGAUCUGGAGGAAUACCGAUGGCGAAGGCAGCCAUCUGGCCUAAUACUGACGCUGAGGUACGAAAGCAUGGGGAGCAAACAGGAUUAGAGACCCGAGUAGUCCCUGUCUCUUAUAC
rnacentral:rRNA from 1 species